rnacentral:rRNA from 1 species
AGCGAACGCUGGCGGCAGGCCUAACACAUGCAAGUCGAACGAACCUUUCGGGGUUAGUGGCGGACGGGUGAGUAACACGUGGGAACGUGCCUUUAGGUUCGGAGUAACUCAGGGAAACUUGUGCUAAUACCGAAUGUGCCCUUCGGGGGAAAGAUUUAUCGCCUUUAGAGCGGCCCGCGUCUGAUUAGCUAGUUGGUUGAGGUAAUGGCUCACCAAGGCGACGAUCAGUAGCUGGUCUGAGAGGAUGAUCAGCCACAUUGGGACUGAGACACGGCCCAAACUCCUACGGAAGGCAGCAGUGGGGAAUCUUGCGCAAUGGGCGAAAGCCUGACGCAGCCAUGCCGCGUGAAUGAUGAAGGUCGUAGGAUUGUAAAAUUCUUUCACCGGGGACGAUAAUGACGGUACCCGGAGAAGAAGCCCCGGCUAACUUCGU